GAUGAACGCUGGCGGCGUGCCUAAUACAUGCAAGUCGAGCGAACAGAUGAGGAGCUUGCUCCUCUGACGUUAGCGGCGGACGGGUGAGUAACACGUGGAUAACCUACCUAUAAGACUGGGAUAACUUCGGGAAACCGGAGCUAAUACCGGAUAAUAUAUUGAACCGCAUGGUUCAAUAGUGAAAGACGGUUUUGCUGUCACUUAUAGAUGGAUCCGCGCCGCAUUAGCUAGUUGGUAAGGUAACGGCUUACCAAGGCAACGAUGCGUAGCCGACGUGAGAGGGUGAUCGGCCACACUGGAACUGAGACACGGUCCAGACUCCUACGGGAGGCAGCAGUAGGGAAUCUUCCGCAAUGGGCGAAAGCCUGACGGAGCAACGCCGCGUGAGUGAUGAAGGUCUUCGGAUCGGAAAACUCUGUUAUUAGGGAAGAACAAAUGUGUAAGUAACUAUGCACGUCUUGACGGUACCUAAUCAGAAAGCCACGGCUAACUACGUG
rnacentral:rRNA from 1 species